rnacentral:rRNA from 1 species
AACGAUGUCGAUUUGGAGGUUGUGCCCUUGAGGCGUGGCUUCCGGAGCUAACGCGUUAAAUCGACCGCCUGGGGAGUACGGCCGCAAGGUUAAAACUCAAAUGAAUUGACGGGGGCCCGCACAAGCGGUGGAGCAUGUGGUUUAAUUCGAUGCAACGCGAAGAACCUUACCUGGUCUUGACAUCCACAGAACUUUCCAGAGAUGGAUUGGUGCCUUCGGGAACUGUGAGACAGGUGCUGCAUGGCUGUCGUCAGCUCGUGUUGUGAAAUGUUGGGUUAAGUCCCGCAACGAGCGCAACCCUUAUCCUUUGUUGCCAGCGGUUAGGCCGGGAACUCAAAGGAGACUGCCAGUGAUAAACUGGAGGAAGGUGGGGAUGACGUCAAGUCAUCAUGGCCCUUACGACCAGGGCUACACACGUGCUACAAUGGCGCAUACAAAGAGAAGCGACCUCGCGAGAGCAAGCGGACCUCAUAAAGUGCGUCGUAGUCCGGAUUGGAGUCUGCAACUCGACUCCAUGAAGUCGGAAUCGCUAGUAAUCGUAGAUCAGAAUGCUACGGUGAAUACGUUCCCGGGCCUUGUACACACCGCCCGUCACACCAUGGGAGUGGGUUGCAAAAGAAGUAGGUAGCUUAACCUUCGGGAGGGCGCUUACCACUUUGUGAUUCAUGACUGGGGUGAAGUCUAAGGGGG